UAAGUUGCAGGGUAUAGACCCGAAACCCGGUGAUCUAGCCAUGGGCAGGUUGAAGGUUGGGUAACACUAACUGGAGGACCGAACCGACUAAUGUUGAAAAAUUAGCGGAUGACUUGUGGCUGGGGGUGAAAGGCCAAUCAAACCGGGAGAUAGCUGGUUCUCCCCGAAAGCUAUUUAGGUAGCGCCUCGUGAAUUCAUCUCCGGGGGUAGAGCACUGUUUCGGCAAGGGGGUCAUCCCGACUUACCAACCCGAUGCAAACUGCGAAUACCGGAGAAUGUUAUCACGGGAGACACACGGCGGGUGCUAACGUCCGUCGUGAAGAGGGAAACAACCCAGACCGCCAGCUAAGGUCCCAAAGUCAUGGUUAAGUGGGAAACGAUGUGGGAAGGCCCAGACAGCCAGGAUGUUGGCUUAGAAGCAGCCAUCAUUUAAAGAAAGCGUAAUAGCUCACUGGUCGAGUCGGCCUGCGCGGAAGAUGUAACGGGGCUAAACCAUG
rnacentral:rRNA from 1 species